UACGUAGGUGGCAAGCGUUAUCCGGAUUUAUUGGGCGUAAAGGGAACGCAGGCGGUCUUUUAAGUCUGAUGUGAAAGCCUUCGGCUUAACCGGAGUAGUGCAUUGGAAACUGGGAGACUUGAGUGCAGAAGAGGAGAGUGGAACUCCAUGUGUAGCGGUGAAAUGCGUAGAUAUAUGGAAGAACACCAAUGGCGAAAGCGGCUCUCUGGUCUGUAACUGACGCUGAGGUUCGAAAGCGUGGGUAGCAAACAGG
rnacentral:rRNA from 1 species